UUGCUCUGACAGUAUAUUUAUGUAAAACUGAAAUGAUACAGAGAUAAUUAGCAUGACCCCUGCACAA
ensembl:snRNA Gm22770 predicted gene, 22770